rnacentral:tRNA from 1 species
GAGGUUGUAGCUCAUUGUUAGAGCACAUGCUUAGCACGCAUGAGAUCCUGGGUUCAAUCCCCAGUACUUCCA